UCCAUGCACACCUCAUUCAAAAUUCCCUCCACCACCACAACUACUGGGUGUCCCUUCUCAUCAUCCACUGCACGCGCCUCCACGCACCACCACAAUACACACGUCACAUUUUCAACUCUACUCCACACCCAACUAUCCAUGUCUUCGCUUCCAUGCUCAAAUACUAUUCUUUGUUCGGUGGGCAAAAUGAAAUUCUAUCUUUCUUUAAACACAUGCAGUGUUUGGGCUACGUAAAACCUGAUGCAUCUAUAUACCCACUCGCCAUCAAAUCUGCUAGUAAAGGUGGCAUUUUGUUCCAUGCCCAUGUUGUGAAAUUGGGUCAUGAAAGUGAUCCUUAUAUUCGUAAUGUCAUCUUGCAUAUGUACGCGAAACAUGGUCCAAUUGAGGUUGCAAGGAAACUGUUUGAUGAAAUGACUGACAGGAGCCUCGUGGAUUGGAAUUCCAUGAUCUCUGGAUAUUGGAAGUGUGAAAAUGAAACUGAAGCUUCUAGUCUGUUUAAUAGGAUGCCUAAGAGGAAUGUUGUAACUUGGACUGCAAUGGUUACCGGGUUUGCAAAGAUAAAGGAUUUGGAGAAUGCAAGGAAGUACUUUGAUGAUAUGCCAGUGAAAAGUGUUGUUUCAUGGAAUGCAAUGCUUUCUGGCUAUGCACAAAAUGGGUUUGCAAAAGAUGCUUUAAAGUUGUUUGAUGAUAUGAUGAAUGCUGGAGUUCAGCCUAACGAAACUACAUGGACUAGUGUCAUUUCUUCAUGUUCAUCGUGUUCUGAUCCUUGCCUUGCAGAUUCAUUUGUGAAAAUGAUUGAGAAAAGCAGGAUCAAGGUGAAUUGUUUUGUCAAGACAGCUUUGCUUGAUAUGAAUGCAAAGUUGGGGAAUCUCGAGGCUGCCAGAAACAUUUUUAAUGAGCUGAUUUUUUAUAGGAAUUCUGUUACAUGGAAUGCCAUGAUUUCUGCAUAUGCAAGGGCUGGUGAUUUGGAUUCGGCUAGGGAUCUCUUUGAUAAGAUGCCAAAACGAGAUUCUGUUUCAUGGAACGCAAUGAUUGCUGGUUAUGCUCAAAAUGGGCAGUCAGCAAUGACAAUUGAACUUUUCAAAGAAAUGGUUGGUGAUAAAAACUCCCAACCAGAUGAAGUGACUGUGGUGAGUGUUAUCUCAGCAUGCGGACAUCUUGGGGCUUUGGAAUUGGGUAAUUGGGUAGUUAAGUUAAUUAAUGAAUAUGAGAUUAAGUUGACGAUUUCAGGAUAUAAUUCUUUGAUUUUUAUGUAUUCAAAAUGUGGAAAGAUGAAGGAGGCCGAAAGAAUCUUUCAAGAAAUGAAAACAAGAGAUGUGGUUUCCUACAAUACCUUGAUUGCUGGGUUUGCUGCUCAUGGCCAGGGAAGUGAAGCCAUAAAACUAUUGUUAACCAUGACAGAAGAAGGUAUUGAUCCAGAUCGUGUAACAUAUAUUGGUGUCCUGACAGCAUGCAGCCAUACGGGAUUAGUGGAAGAAGGCCGUAAGGUCUUUGAAUCAAUCAAAAGUCCAGGUGUAGAUCACUAUGCAUGCAUGGUUGAUUUGUUAGGCCGAGUUGGAAACAUAGAUGAAGCAAAAAGAUUAAUAGAUAGCAUGCCAAUGGAACCACAUGCUGGAGUCUAUGGUUCUCUUUUAAAUUCUAGUCGGAUUCACAAAAGAGUUGAACUUGGGGAACUUGCUGCAAAAAUGCUCUUUCAGCUUGAACCACAAAAUUCAGGAAAUUAUGUUUUACUCUCUAACAUAUACGCUUUGGCAGGGAGGUGGGAAGAUGUCAACUGGGUAAGAGAAAUGAUGAGAAAAGGAGAAGUGAAGAAGACAGCUGGAUGGAGUUGGGUAGAAUACAAAGGGAAAGUGCAUAAGUUCAUAGUUGGGGACAGAUCACAUGAACAAUCAGAUGAUAUUUAUAGACUAUUGGCAGAAUUGGUAAGCAAGAUGCGAAGGCAUGGGUAUACAGCUGACAAGAGCUGUGUGCUAAGAGAUGUUGAAGAUGAAGAGAAGGAAUAUAUGGUGGAAACUCAUAGUGAAAAGCUGGCCAUUUGCUUUGCCCUUCUUGUCAGCGAAUUAAGGGAAGUGAUUAGGGUGGUGAAGAACCUAAGGGUGUGUUUGGAUUUGCCAUAAUGCUAUAAAGAUGAUCUCCAAGUUGGAGGGGAGGGAGAUAGUUGUGAGAGAUAACAAUAGGUUUCAUCAUUUCAUUGAUGGGCUAUGUUCUUGCAAGGAUCAUUGGUAGUGCAUAAGAAGAAAAUACAGUAUUACCAUGCUAAUGGAUGGACAUAGCUGAUUUGAUUGUACAAUGAAUAUAACAGUGUGGAGAAUACCAGUGAAGUGAGUUGAUGGUUGUUGGUGAGGGAAUAUUAAAAAAGAUGCUGGAAGGUUAGAAUAGUGUUGUUGCUGUUCUUGUUGAUGAGUGUAUCAUACUGGUAUUUACAUUGCAUACAAUGUCUUCUGGCUCCUUCAAAUAUAGUUGGCAGAUAAUUUAUCGCCUGAGACAGCUUCUUCACUUAAGUUAUCAGUCAGUGAAAUGGAAACCAGCUUAUUUCUUUGAUUUUGAAGACCAAGGUUGUAAGUUAAUUGUAGCAAUUGUUUCAUGGGUAUUGGAAUGAGGGAAUAUAAUUUUUUUCAUUCAGGGCAUGAAGGGCUUUGUAGAUUUUGUUAAUGGAAUAAUAUUUUCAAAGCUAGCUUUUCUUAUAGGAGUUGGCAUCCAAUGGCCAAUUUAAUUCUAAAAUGCAUAUCCAGAAGGCAUUUAGCAGAAGACACAAGUACAUCAUGUUCAAGUUGACACUUGUAUUUGAAAAAGAAGGAUACCAGAACAAAGCAUAAGGUGGCAAGAAAAUCUGUGAACACAAUAGCAGGACAGGAUAUUAUCUGGUGAUUCUGAACUUAUUAGCUGAAAUUGCUGUAAGCACUCUUUAGCCACAACUAUCCCUCUGAGAAACAGUGGCAACAUUUUUAUGUUUUUUCUUGACGUUUAUCAAAAUUUCACUGCA
rnacentral:misc_RNA from 1 species